GACGAACGCUGGCGGCGUGCCUAACACAUGCAAGUUGAGCGACGAACCAGGGCUUGCCCUGGGGCAAAGCAGCGAACGGGUGAGUAACACGUGGGUAACCUACCCCGAUAACCGGGACAACCCGAGGAAACUCGGGCUAAUACCGGAUGUGCUCACUGGACUUCGGUUCAGUGCGUAAAGGAAGCUUCGGCCUCCGUAUCGGGAGGGGCCCGCGGCCCAUUAGUUUGUUGGUGAGGUAACGGCUCACCAAGACCGCGAUGGGUAGCUGGUCUGAGAGGACGAUCAGCCACACUGGGACUGAGACACGGCCCAGACUCCUACGGGAGGCAGCAGUGGGGAAUCUGGCGCAAUGCGAGAAAGCGUGACGCAGCAGCGCCGCGUGGGGGAAGAAGGCCUUCGGGUUGUAAACCCCUUUCAGGAGGGACGAAGGUGCGGCGGUGAAUAGCCGUCCGGACUGACGGUACCUCCACAAGAAGCCCCGGCUAACUACGUG
rnacentral:rRNA from 1 species